AAAGGAGGGGCAAUACCGAAUAUUGUCCGGAACCGUGAAGGGUUUCGGGGAAAGGGAGGCCUCUGACACAAGCUUUCGCCUUAAGAUGAGCCCAUGGCCCAUCAGCUAGUUGGUAGGGUAAAGGCCUACCAAGGCUACGACGGGUCGCUGGUCUGAGAGGACGACCAGCCACACUGGCACUGAGAUACGGGCCAGACUCCUACGGGAGGCAGCAGUGAGGAAUAUUGCGCAAUGGGGGAAACCCUGACGCAGCAACGCCGCGUGUGGGAAGAAGGCCUUCGGGUCGUAAACCACUUUUACUCGGGACGAAAAAGGGAUAUCAAAUAAAUAUCCCCGAUGACGGUACCGUGAGAAUAAGCCACGGCUAACUCUGUGCCAGCAGCCGCGGUAAGACAGAGGUGGCAAGCGUUGUUCGGAAUUACUGGGCGUAAAGAGUCUGUAGGUGGUUUGUCAAGUCUUUGGUGAAAGGCCGUAGCUUAACUAUGGGAAUGCCAAAGAGACUGGCAGGCUGGAGGCUGGGAGAGGGAAGCGGAAUUUCUGGUGUAGCGGUGAAAUGCGUAGAUAUCAGAAGGAAGGCCGGUGGCGAAGGCGGCUUCCUGGAACAGUCCUGACACUGAGAGACGAAAGCGUGGGGAGCAAACAGGAUUAGAUACCCUGGUAGUCCACGCCCUAAACGAUGGGUACUAAGUGUGGAGGGGUUAAACCCUCCGUGCCGCAGCAACGCAGUAAGUACCCCGCCUGGGGAGUACGGCCGCAGGUUGAACUCAAAGGAAUUGACGG
rnacentral:rRNA from 1 species